rnacentral:rRNA from 1 species
CCUACGGGUGGCAGCAGUGGGGAAUAUUGCACAAUGGGGGAAACCCUGAUGCAGCGACGCCGCGUGAGUGAAGAAGUAAUUCGUUAUGUAAAGCUCUAUCAGCCGGGAAGAAAAUGACGGUACCUGAGUAAGAAGCCCCGGCUAACUACGUGCCGGCAGCCGCGGUAAUACGUAGGGGGCAAGCGUUAUCCGGAUUUACUGGGUGUAAAGGGGGCGUAGACGGCUUUUCAAGUCUGGGGUAAAAGCGGGGAGCUCAACGCCCGGCCUGCGUUGAAACUUAUGCGUCUGAGUGGCAGGUAAGUAUGCGGAAUGCGUAGUGUAGCAGUGAAAGGCAUAGAUAUCACGCAGAACUCGGAUU